rnacentral:rRNA from 1 species
CUACGGGAGGCAGCAGUGGGGAAUCUUGCGCAAUGGCCGAAAGGCUGACGCAGCGACGCCGCGUGGAGGAUGACGCCCUUCGGGGUGUAAACUCCUGUUGCCCGGGACGAAUACCUGUUUCGACAGGGGUGACGGUACCGGGUGAGGAAGCACCGGCUAACUCUGUGCCAGCAGCCGCGGUAAUACAGAGGGUGCGAGCGUUGUCCGGAAUCACUGGGCGUAAAGGGCGCGUAGGUGGCGCGGUAAGCGUGUGGUGAAAGUCCGGGGCUCAACCCCGGAUCGGCCAUGCGAACUGCCGCGCUGGAGCACGGUAGAGGCACAUGGAAUUCCGGGUGUAGCGGUGGAAUGCGUAGAGAUCCGGAAGAACACCGGUGGCGAAGGCGGUGUGCUGGGCCGUUGCUGACACUGAGGCGCGAAAGCGUGGGGAGCAAACAGGAUUAGAAACCCUAGUAGUCC